UAACUAGUUGAGGACCCAAAAUAAAAAAUCCCAUUUUUCUUAGCAAGAAUUGCUUUAAGAACUACUGUAUCUCAUACUAGAAUUUAAAACAUUUAAAGAGCCCAACUAUUGAGCCCGUUUUGAUAAAUUAAUUUGUACAACACAUAUUUAAAGUUAAAGGCUCUAGAAUUCUCUCACAAUCACCACUAACCACUUUGGGCAGCUCUCGGACUGCCAAUGCAAACUCCAUCACCAUGAAUGAAACUUUGCCUGGGUUUGGAGGUUCAACUCUUCCUCUGCAUUUCUAUUUCCGUCGCAUACUUCUUCUCCCAUUCUGACUAUAAUGAAAUAGUUUCAUAUAUACUGGCUGUUACUUUUCGUAAUGUUCAAUUUGACCCGUAUAUUGGCUUGGGCUUGAGGAUUUUUCUCACGAUAAUUGCUCAUCUCUUGCCGGGCUUCUGGUUUACUUUGGUGGAUGCGUUAAGAAACGAAACUGAGGUCAUGUCACUUUCUUUGGUUCAGCCUAUCGGCAUGUAGAAGCACAGGAUUUUGGGGGAUCAAAUAAGAGAAAAAGAGAGGCAAAGGUUGAGAGAUGAAGAAGAUGGAGAGUGCACGUAGAUUGGCCACUGUGGUUGUUCAACAGUUGGCACAGACUCGUGAAUUUUUCCACCAUAUUCUAGCUGCCUCUAAGUACACUCUACAAGGAGUUCAGGAUGUUUGGUCCUGUAGUUAUCCCUUGUUGAUGUUGAUGCUGAUGCUCAUAUUUUUAAAUUGGCUUGCCAAAUGGAAGUAACUGGUAAUUCUGAUAUAGAAUGGUGCCCUGACCUCUGUUGGGAGAAAGGGAUCGAUUUGCUAGAGAUAUGUCAUAAAUACGGGUAGUAACAUCAAUCCUUGAAUCUCAACUAAGUAUUUCCCAAGACUGAAAAGCACAUGAUUAUGAGCUUUGGCUGCCUCUUUUGAUAUCCACCAGCCACAGCUGCUAUAUACACUGUCAGGAUGACUGCAAAUUCAUUUGCCGGGAUUUGUGAGAUGAUCCUUGUAAGUUAGCUUACCACAAUACGGAAGUUCAUGCAAUAGGCAUCCGUUACAUUGCAGAGAGUCCAAGUCACCCUAAUAUCUUGCUGACCAGUAGCUAUUAUGAACAUCUAAGGGUUUGGGACGUGAGAUCCAUUGCAAAACCUGUAAAUAAGACAUUUAGUCCCAUUAGGAGGAGUUCAGAGAAUAAGAUAUCAUCUAUUGUACUCGACCUAGUCUUGACGGCUUGUCUGCACAAAGAUCUCCAGUUGUCUAAGUUAAAGAUGAUAAAGCUGAGGUCAUGGAAACCUGUGACAAACACGGUGUCUGGCAUGUUGACCAGAUUGAAAAAGGGGCUCUUUAGGUAUGGAAGGAAAGAGGGAAGAAAAUUUUAUUAUCGCCUUCUUUGCAUGUGGAUGCCAGAAGGUGACAUUCUUUAACGACCUCUUGGUCUAGGAUAUGCUUCUUAGCAGUCAGGAGCACGGCCUUAACAACAAGAAGUUAUGAAAGGAUACUUUUUGGGGGAUGGGGGUGUUUGAGUUUCUGUCCAGUGUUUUAUGCAUAUUGUUCCCACCUUGUAUCUCUGAUAGAGAGAAAAUUUCUGCUUAUUUUGAAUGGCUCAUUUGUAACAGACAAUUAGUGUGUACGUUUGUGAGUGAAUUCGCAUAAACUUGUAUCCAUUAAAGCUGCAGUAGUAAAUAGCAAGACAAAUACAAGUACAGCAAUAGAAUUGGCUCUGUUCGGUUCGUAUUA